CCGAUGCCUUGAUCUUGGACUUCCAGCCUCCAGAGCGCUGCAUGCAGAUGACAAGGCCCAAGGGGAUGGCAGAGCCACAAGAUGGAAAGGGCCUGGGUUCUUAAAUGUCCGUGUGGAGGAGAGAUGCUUCUCUGGCCUGACCACCCAGCCAGGACUGGUACUCUGUAAGAAGCCGUCUUCUGUGGUGUUUAGAUCGAGUGGGUGCUACAAUGGAGCCCGCCCUGACUGCUAUUCCUGUAAUGCAAACCCGAGUGCAGGUAUUGGUGUGCCCACUGGAGGUGUCGGAGUGAAGGAGACAGACUGGGUGCAGGAUCUCAUCGAGUUCACGGCCAAAGUCAAUUAUUGCGUGGUCUGUGCUCUGAGAGGGGCCCUUCUUUGGGGCGUGACAGAGCACUUCCUGGAGGAAGCAGAGGUCUGAUGGAUGUUUUAUUAGUCACCUAGAGCUGCCUUAACAGACACCAGCAGCUGGGUGGCACACAACAACACAAGUUUAUUCUCUCACAGUUCCUGAGUCUAGAAGUCCCAAAUCCAGGCAUUGGCCGGGCCGUGCUCCUUCUGCAGGCUCUGGGGAGAGUCUGUUCCACGCCUCUCUCCUAGUUUC
rnacentral:lncRNA from 1 species